ACGCGUGAAAUCGNCCGCCUGGGGAGUACGGUCGCAAGAUUAAAACUCAAAGGAAUUGACGGGGACCCGCACAAGCGGUGGAUGAUGUGGAUUAAUUNGAUGCAACGCGAAGAACCUUACCUGGUCUUGACAUGUACGGAACCCUCCAGAGACGGAGGGGUGCCUUCGGGAGCCGUAACACAGGUGCUGCAUGGCUGUCGUCAGCUCGUGUCGUGAGAUGUUGGGUUAAGUCCCGCAACGAGCGCAACCCUUGUCAUUAGUUGCCAUCAUUAAGUUGGGCACUCUAAUGAGACUGCCGGUGACAAGCCGGAGGAAGGUGGGGAUGACGUCAAGUCCUCAUGGCCCUUAUGACCAGGGCUUCACACGUCAUACAAUGGUCGGUACAGAGGGUAGCCAAGCCGCGAGGUGGAGCCAAUCUCACAAAACCGAUNGUAGUCCGGAUUGCACUCUGCAACUCGAGUGCAUGAAGUCGGAAUCGCUAGUAAUCGCAGGUCAGCAUACUGCGGUGAAUACGUUCCCGGGUCUUGUACACACCGCCCGUCACACCAUGGGAGUGGGGGAUACCAGAAGUAGGUAGGGUAACCGCAAGGAGCCCGCUUACCNCGGUAU
rnacentral:rRNA from 1 species